GGUCAUCGAGUCCAGUGGAGCAGAGUCUUCGACUCUAUGGAUAGAGUUGAUUCAGCUGGAGGCCUUGGUAGAAUGUCACAACUUGGACAUGUUGUAAGGAGAACAUAUUCAGUUCAGGCCCCUCUGCCCGUUAGGUAUUUGGAUACCAACCACAAGCUGAACAGAUAUGGCUUUGUAAUAUUAGGGGGCAUAGAUGGCUACUCACGAAAGGCCAUGUAUCUGGGGGCUGCAACCAACAACAACGCAGAAAGUGCACUAGGUUUCUUCCUCAAGGCAGUAGAAAAG